CCCGCCAGCCCCGCGCUCUACCAGGCAGAGCGCGUGUGGCCGCCGAGCACAUGGACCCACUGGUCAAGCGGGCUCGGCAAGGCCAGGAUGAAGAGAAGCUACGAACUUAGCAUUCCCAGAGCCCCCCGAGUGGAUAUCCGCGUGGAAAGGAUGUUGGCAGCCCCGGUGACCUCGGAGUCACGGCUGGAUCCACCCUCUUGUCUGAUUUUCUUAACUCUACUACGGUAAGAAGAUGCCCUCCAUCAGCAGGCCGUGUCUGCUGGGACCUCUCUGGAGACUUCCUGAACCCUGUGGAUUUACAGUAAGAUGCAGUUUCCUGGGGAGUAAUUCUGGUGGAUACAAAUUCCGGAGUAUUACACCUGGCUUGCCUGGAGAUGUUACAAGUAGCUGGAUGGAUUCUUCAGCCUGGAUGCCCACUGAAAACAAGGACCGAAACUAAGAGGAUUGUAUCUCUACCCUUGACUCAAUGAGAAUGUUUGUUGUCAUCUCUCGGGCUACCUGGAGCUCCCUCUAAAAUAGAGCCGAGUUCUGUCACCACAGACAUUGGCAGUGGCACUUGCAUGCCCCUGGCAAGCAGUCUAUCCUGAGGUGGAGGAAGUUGCCCUUGAGUUCUGGCUGGUAACCAGCACAGUAUACCCUUUAAGCGUUCCAGAAGGAUUUUGAGAUCCUUUCCUAAAUCAAAGGUGGAAUAUUUGGGGAUUUGGAAAAUUGAGUGUCUUCAGCCAAGGGAUGAGAACAGCGCAUGCUGCUGCUGCUGAUUCUGUGUGCUCAGGGCCCUUCUGUGGAGGAGCAGGAGAAUAGGCUUCAGAGAAAUCAGGAGCGGUGAAUGAUCGAAAUGGACCUUUGAGAUUACAGUGUGGAGCUGACAUUGCCAGUUAAGCCUGGGCAGAUCUGACUUAAUUGAUUUAGUUGUUGGAGCAGAGACAACCCAGAGGCUUGGAUCAGCCUCCCCAUCUGACAGUGUGCUGAUGUGAAGCGUUGACUUAAGAGAUGCCAAGUAACUCAGCAGAUGUCACACAGACGAUAAAUAGCAAAGAUGGAAGUCUUCAUGCCGGAGGCAAUCCUAUAAGACAGCUGAGUUCUGCAGAGCUGGUAGGAGACAGACUUGCUCAGGUGAUAGAUCCAGCCAUGAUACUGACCCUAAGAGAAUGAGACGCUCUGCAGAAGACAGAAGAUUCCUGAAACUGGGAAAGGUGCCUAGAAAUCCUGAUAAGAGUGAAGAAGGGUACCUGGAGGCACAGCAGCCAUGUUGAACCUAUGAGGUGAUGAAAAACCAUGCAACUAGAAACCAGAAUGGAAGAAAAGAAGAAGCUGGAUCCUUGACUGAAUUGUCGAUGGGGGAUAGUCCAUCAUCCCAGGGCUAAGACCACCUCCAGAUUUCUUGUUUGGUGAAACAAGUCCUGAUUGUUUACAUUCCCUCGUGUUGAGCUGUCUCUUGCUUGUAGCUGAAAGCAUUUCUAAUAGAUAUUCAGAUUAUCAGCCUUAGCUCCAAGCUAGAAUACUCUAUGGGACCUUAGCUUCUCCAUGAAUUCCUUUGCUCAUCUGUGUAAUGCUCAAUAAAUGUAAAUUGAACCCUGAAUGAGGGACAAUGACA
rnacentral:lncRNA from 1 species